UACGUAGGGUGCAAGCGUUAAUCGGAAUUACUGGGCGUAAAGCGUGCGCAGGCGGUUUUGUAAGUUUGUCGUGAAAGCCCCGGGCUCAACCUGGGAAUUGCGAUGAAGACUGCAAGGCUUGAAUCUGGCAGAGGGGGGUAGAAUUCCACGUGUAGCAGUGAAAUGCGUAGAGAUGAUGGAGGAACACCGAUGGCGAAGGCAGCCCCCUGGGUCAAGAUUGACGCUCAUGCACGAAAGCGUGGGGAGCAAACAGG
rnacentral:rRNA from 1 species